rnacentral:rRNA from 1 species
UACGAAGGGGGCUAGCGUUGCGCGGAAUCACUGGGCGUAAAGGGUGCGUAGGCGGGUCUUUAAGUCAGGGGUGAAAUCCUGGAGCUCAACUCCAGAACUGCCUUUGAUACUGAAGGUCUUGAGUUCGGGAGAGGUGAGUGGAACUGCGAGUGUAGAGGUGAAAUUCGUAGAUAUUCGCAAGAACACCAGUGGCGAAGGCGGCUCACUGGCCCGAUACUGACGCUGAGGCACGAAAGCGUGGGGAGCAAACAGG